GUGAUAUAGUAAGUUGUUAAGUAUCUAUCCUACUUUAAAUUUCCUGUAUUACAAUUUUCAGUUAAUUUCCAAGUAUGAGACCUAAAUGGAAGAAAAAAAGAAUGAGAAGGCUCAAGCGUAAAAGAAGGAAGAUGAGAGAACGCUCGAAAUAAUUACCAAGAAAAUAAUGCUGCUAAAAUAUAUCUUCAUUAUGAAUUAAUUCAUUUUUUAAUAACAUUCUUCUCAUACAAUAUAUUGUGAAUUACAAAUAAAAGCAAUCGAUGAAUUAAAGUGUAUUUGUAAAUAAAACAUGUAAGCAUUUAUUAUCAUGAAAUAAAUUUCGAAAUUCU